rnacentral:lncRNA from 10 species
AUUUUAAAGUUGGGUAGCAUGAUGCCUCCAGCUCUGUUUUUUACUGCUUGGGAUUGCCUUGGCUACUCAAGCUUUAUUUUUUUGGUUCCAUGUGAAUUUUAAAAUAUUUUUUGUAGUUCUAUGAUGAACAUCAUUUUUAGUUUCAUAGGAACAGCAUUGAAUCUACAAAUUGCUUUGGACAGUAUGGCCAUUCUAUUUAUAUUGAUUCUUCCUAUACAUGAGCAUGGAAUGUUUUUCCAUUUGUUUGUGUCACCUCUGAUUUCUUUUAGCAUUUUUCUUUUAGAUUUUUCUUUUCUGCCUCUAUUGAAAUAAUCAUGUGAUUUUUGUAUUUAGUUCUGUUUAUGUGAUGACUUGCAUUUAUUGAUUUGCAUAUGUUGAACCAACUUUGCAUCCCAGGGAUAAAGCCUAAUUGAUAAUGGUAGAUAAGCUUUUUGAUGUGCUGCUGAUGUGGUCUGCUAGUAUUUUACCGAGGAUUUUUGCAUUGAUGUUCAUCAAAGAUAUUGGCCUGAAAUUUUUGUGUCUUUGCCAGAUUUUGGUAUCCAGAUUAUGCUGGCCUCAUAGAAUGAGUUAAGGACGAGUCUCUCCUCCUCAAUUUUUUGGAAUAGUUUCAGUAAGAAUGGUACUAGCUCUUUUUUGUUUAUCUGGUAGAAUUCAGCUGUUAAUCCAUCUGUUCCUGGGCUUUCUGUUUUUUUUUCUUUUUUCUUUUUUCUUUUUUUGGUAGCUACACUAUUUAUUAGUGCCUCAAUUUCAAAGCUCGUUAUUGGUCUGUUCAGGGAUUCAGUUUCUCCCUGGUUCAGUCUUGGGAGGGUAUAGGAUUCCAGGAAUUUAUCCAUUUCUUCCCUGUUUUAUAGUUUGUGUGCAUAGAGGUGUUCAUAAUAUUCUUUGAUGGUUAUUUUUAUGUCUGUGGUGUCAGUCAUAAUAACCCCUUUGUCGUUUCUAAUUGUGUUUGUUUGUAUCUUCUUUCUUUUCUUCUUUAUUAGUCUAGCUAGUGGUAUAUUUUAUUAACUUUUUUCAAAAACUCUGCUCCUGGGUUUGCUGAUCUUUUGAAUAGUUUUUUUCUAUCUCAAUCUCUCUCAGUUCAGUUCUGAUUUUGAUUAUUUUUUGUUUUCUGCUAGCUUUGAGUUUGUUUUGAUCUUGGUUCUCUAGUUCUUUUAGUUGUGAUAUUAUGUUGUUAACUUGAGAUCUUUCUAAUUUUUUAAUGUGAGUGUUCAGUGCCAUAAAUUUCCCUUUUAACAAUACCCUAUCUGUUUCCCAGAGAUUCUGUUAUGUUGUAUUUUUGUUCUUAUUACUUUUAAACAACUUCUUGGUUUAUGCCUUAAUUUCAUUAUUUAUCCAAAUGUCAUUCAGGAGCAGGCUAUUCAAUUUCCAUUUAAUUGUAUGGUUUUGAGCAAUUUUCUUAGUCUUGAUUUCUGAUUUUGUUGUGUUGUGGUCUGAGAGAGUGAUUGUUAUUAUUUCAGUUCUUCUGCAUUUGCUAAGGAGCAUUUUAUGUUUGAUUAUGUGGUUGAUUUUGGAGUAUGCGCCAUGUGGCUGUGUGAAGAAUGUGUAUCUUGUUGUUUUGGGUUGGAGAGUUCUGUAGAUGUCUAUCAGGUCCAUUUGAUCCAGUGCUGAGUUCAGGUCUUGAAUUUCUUUGUUAAUUUUCUGUCCCGU